GGCACACCGUCACAGUGUAAAGUGAAGAGGGAAAAUUCCCCAAAAAUCGUGCGGAGAAUUUUUUUUUGCCCGAAGAUGCCGAAGAUCACCUCGUCGCCGUCUCCCACCAUCUCGGCCAUGAAUCCCCUCCUCCCCUCCUCCUUUCCGAAAUCACCCCACCCGCCGGACCCAAACCCUAGCUCCCCGAAUCCUAGCCCCUGCAGCUACCUCCUCCACGCCGACACCGACGACGAGGCGCUGAUUCAAAUCCCCGGUCAGAACCCUACCCUGGUGGGCGCCUCCGCCCCCUUCGCGUUGCUGCCGUCUAUCGACCCGGUCCCGCACGUCUCGUCGCAGUUCUACACCUUCAGCGCCGCCUCCUACGGGCUCAUGGUACGCUGCAUCCGAGCAGGCCGCUCCGCAUCUUCCGACGAGGUCCGCGGCGCCACGUCGCUCUCCGUGCUCGCCUCCUGGCGGGCGGUCUGGAAGGAUCGGAACGAGGACACUGCCUACCUCACCGCGUGGAAGCGCAUCCAGGACAAGCUCGCCGCUUCGGCCGACGGCCGGCACCUUCACUUCAAGUCCAACACCGCGCAGCGCGUCUCCCACGUCGGCAUGUGGAGGGACAUAGUCUCGGAGGCGCACGCCGACCCCGACCUGCUCCGGCACCUCGCGUUCAAGGACACCGUCGACCGCAUCAAGCAGUCUUGGACUGUGGGGGCCAAAAUCUACGGUAUUCCAGAAUCAUUUAUCCGUGCAUGUGUCGCUGCAUGCCCCGUUUGUAAAGCUGCGCCUGCUAGCCAACCUGAUCCCGCUACCUCAUCACCUAAACGUGGGAAGCGGCGCCGCAGGUUUGUAUAUACUGAGACAUUGGAUGUGCCUGCUCGAGAUGUGCCUUGGAGGUUACAACAAUUGGCUGCCAAGCAUAAGGUUGUACUUUGUAUAAGGCAGAAGUAUAUACGGUAUAAGCCCUUCAUGGCUGAGGUGAAAGAUUAUGCCUGCGACCGUGCUGGAGUGCCCACAUCAAGUAGUGGGAGUGCUGCAUCCUCAGCCAAUAAUUCCGAGGGUAAGAAGGCGCGGGUUCUAAAGCGAGAGCCAUACCAGUCAAAGAGGUGUGGUUGUGGAUUCCGUAUUCGGGCAAUUGUGCCGAUAGCUAACUAUAAUGAAAAAGACAAGACUUUUGUGUACUUGGAGGAGGGCACUGCAGUGUUCAAGCUUUACGCUGUGCAUUCAGGGCAUGAACCAGGGCCACUUGAUGGCAAUGCACGAAUUGUUCACAGGUUGGUUGGUCAUAAGGGAGCUCUUGAGUUUGAUCCAGACAUUUAUGGUGUCAGUGAGGAAGGUGAUCCUACCUUUUCAGCGAAGGGGGAUGAAGAUGUUGAUAUUGACGACUCACACCAGGCAGUCUUGCGGCAAGUACGGUAUCUGAGAUCAGAAGUUCUCUCGCUAGAAGGGAAGGUGGCUAAGAUGCACCCAGAAUUGUUAGGGUCACUGUCCACUGAGUUGUCUGAGGUUUUGCACAGGAUUAGGAAGUUUAAUUUGGAAGGCAAUGUCUACCAACAGCAGAUAUUGAUGGUAGGCAAUGAAGAAGUCAGGGGAUGGGGGUCAGGGGAUGUAUCUCACCAAUUAGACCAGCAUGAUCGACCAUUCUGCAAGGAUGAUGAGAUGCUUGAUGAUGAUGAUACUGACUUUGGCUCAAGCAUUGGACCUAUUGUCUCAUGGGACAGGAUGGCAGCAGAGUGCGAGGAUAGGAAGAUGCUCAUGGGUGAUAGCCCAAAGUGUGACAAGUGGAUGCUUAAGGAUGAUGUGGGUGAUUUUGAUGCAAAGAGUAUUCUUAACUGUGGGGAUGAUGAUGGCGUGGAGGAUUCCAAGGUCAUCAAGCCGUUGAUGCAUGACGAUACCAUGGUAACUGACCCAAAUUUGGCUUGUUCUGGUCUGUAUAUUCAGUACAAUGAUUUAGAAACUUCUGUAUUUUUAUUUAUGCCUACCCUCUGAAUUUGAAAAUUAUAUGAGGUAAAUGUUAUGAUAUUUUCUGUUAUGCAUCUGCAGAAAUUUGUAGCUUAAUGAUUCAUCCAUAGAUAUGUAUUGCUUUUUUAUGUGCCUGUUGUUGUUGACUGGUUGUGUUGUGCCAUGACAAUUAAUGCUUCCCAUGUUGGAGUAACAUGAAACAUGAUAUCCUAGGAAGUGCAAAGUUAGUGUUUUGAAUACAUUAUUAAGCUUCAUGUUCCAUUAUACAAGCUCCAGGAAUUCUUCAUGUCACAUAUAGUACUGCUCCCUCCAUUCCAAAUUGUAGGUUGUUUAGUGUCCUAAACUUUUCUAACUUUGACCAUGUUCAUAGAAAAAUAUGUUAACAUCUGCAAUACCAAAUAAAAGCACUAUCAACAUGUAUUUGAUGGUGGAUUAAACAAAACUAAUUUGAGGUUAUAGAAGUUGGUACCUUUUUCUAUAAAUUUGGUCAAACUUAAGGAAAUUUAACUUAUUAUACCACCAAACUAAAACAACUUACAGUUUGUAACAGAGGGAUACUGUCUUUUACAAGGAUUGUGCAAGUUCUUUGAUAGUCAACACUCAGCAGUGGUGUUCAUACCCAUUUUUUAUGGAACGAGUUCAUGCUCAUGCUUGGGUUCAUCAGCAAUGUUUGCGAUGUGCAGCCUUUCAGCAAGGUUAUUGUCAAGCACUGACAUCGGAUGGUAUACCACCAGUUCAAGGAUUCUUCCCAUGCCAGUAGGAAGGUUUUGUGCACUCACACUGUAGGGGUGAUCCCAUUGAACACUACAUCAUUCCUCGUUUUCUAAAGGGUCCAUGCCCCUAAAAUGACCAAGAUGUUGAAACCAUUCCGCACACCGUUGCUCAUUCGAUCAUUUGAUUGCUGCCAUCGUAAGAAGAAAUUGAUACUGUCCGUUUGGGGUGUGAGUCCGGAAUCCCAAAAUAUCGCCAUAGCUGAUGCCAAAAGUGCCGAGUGAAGACACACACCAAGAGUAGAUGGUUAAUCGUCUCAUCUUCCUGGUCACAACAGUGAUCUGGAUGGGGAAGGCCAUGACAUGCCAUCCUGUCCGUUGUCUUUGUUGGAUUGUGUAAAAUAGAUGAUACGGUACAGUAGAUGAUACUGUUUAACACUGUUUACAGAGUAAAGUUUGAAAUAGAUGAUAAGAUAAAGGAUGAGACAGGGGAGCUGCUAGAGACAACCUCAGCAACGGUUGUGGGCCACUAGCUAUAGGAAAAACUUACAUUUCCUUGGAGUCCAUAUUUUCAAAAUCA